AUUUCUUUUGGUGUUCAGAGUCAAUAUAAUUUUCUAGCACCAUCUGAAAUCGGUUAUAAUGAUUGGGGA
rnacentral:pre_miRNA from 1 species